rnacentral:rRNA from 1 species
GACGUAGGUGGCGAACGUUAUCCGGAAUUAUUGGGCGUAAAGGGUGCGUAGGCGGCAUGAUAAGUUAUUGGCGGCAAAUCGAGGCUCAACCUCGUGGAAACUGAUAAUACUGUUUUGCUUGAGUACAGAAGAGGUUAACGGAACUCCAUGUGGAGCGGUAAAAUGUGUAGAUAUAUGGAAGAACAUCAAUAACGGCGAAGGCAGUUAACUAUUCUGUUACUGACGUUGAGGCACGAAAGCGUGGGGAGCAAAAAGG